AAAUAUUUAUUAAUAACUGCAGUAAUCAUGAUAAUAACUGUAAUAAUAAUUUAACGAUCAUAAUAAAUAUUACUGUAUUUCUGAAGCACAUUGAAAGCAUACACAAAGUAGAACAAAACAGUGAACAGAAACCAAAUGCCAAAGUUAGAGUACAGGUUCUGAACAGCUCAACAUGUAAUCUCUUGAAAUUGAUCAAUAUAUCUCUUUAUUUAUGUAUUUUGUUUACCUACUCAUCUUUUAAUCUAUAUGACCUUGGAGCAAUUGCCAAAAAAGAAGAAAAUAAAAACAGAAAUAGAUGUGUUUGAAGCACAUGAAGAGUCGUCGUUUUGAAUUUCCACUAAUACAACGUUCUGACAUAGACAGAAAAAGGAGCAUCUGUACAUUCGGAAUACAAAAGCACCACAUUUAUAAGCCGUAAACAGACCAACACAAACAGAAUGGAAGGGUUUCUCUUUCACAGCGUCAGCUUACUCCUACACCACUCUAACCUUUGUGCUUUUGGGGGACUGCAGAGGGCGUUGUGAACUCAGAAAGGAAAGAGAGCUCAGAGUUUUACAGUACCAUCCUGUCCUCCAAUCAGAGAGGAGAGGGAUAAGGAGUCCCCUUAUUCCCCGUCUUCAAACCUGGAUCCUCAACCCUCCUCUUGUGUAUAGGUCACAAAUCCCCUCCAACACAGAUCAAGGUGUGACAGAACCCUCCCUCACCACCACCCCCCACCCACUCUCAGCACUAGUCCCUCACUUGGUCCUCACUCACUCGCUCUCUCUCCCUCUCUUUCACCUCAGGAGAGAGAAGAAUAAAUACAAAAUAGAUCAAUAUUUAAAAAACACAUUUGAUCUGGCACACAGGACAGACUGCGAUGCUCCUCUCCUGGUGUUCUUGUUCUCGUCAGAUGUGAAAAGCCUUGGUGCGAAGAGUUCUGACUGAUCCAGUAAAUGAUUACACGGUUCUUAUCUGGAGGAUGUCUGUCUGCAGGGCACUGGUGUGCUCCACAUAAUACCCUCCCCACUUGUUCCUACGUAAAAUACCCUCACCAGUUGUAUUGGCAUCGGUGUGACCGUCUGAAGUCCAGCAUUUUAUCAGAUGAAACGUUCAGCUAUAUUAUCAUCGUGUAGUGUACUGCAUAUACAUUGUACUUUGACAUUUUGUUUUUUUAUAUAUAUAUAACGACAUUCACAUAAAAAGUUUUUGGAAGUUACAUUCAAUAGCGGAACCAAAGGAGGAGUAAAUAGACAAACAGGUAAUAACACUACACAGGUAUAGAAAUCUCCCAGGAAUGGUCGACAGUGCAUUAAGUCCGGCGCCCAUAAAAUCAUAAUAUCGAUUAUCAAAAAUCAAAGGGCGAACUUAAUUCCAAGGGUUGCAGAUCACAAAUAGAUAUAUUUAUAUUCAUCAUAUAUAUAAAUGUUUUUUUUUUCUUACUCAGUAAUACAGUAAAUGUAACAUUAGUUAAUGGCUACAAUGGACUUUUCCCCACCAUGUCUGACAGCAUGUUAUUAGUACAAUGUUUAAAUAUAGAAGGAUGUUACUAAAGUAGAGCUCGAUAUAAAUAGAACGUUUAAAAGAGAAUUGAAUAAAUCUUUAUCGGUUGGUUUUGCGACCCGUCUGACGGAACCGUCAAUCCCUUUCUUCUCUCUGUCUCUCAGAACAAUCCUGAGCCCAUAUCGAAGACGGAUGGAGGAGUCAAACUGCAUCCCAAAUGGCACCCUAUUCCCUAUAUAGUGCUCUGCUUUUGACCAGUAUUGCACUGUAUAGGGAAAAGGGUGAAUGUUGGGAUACGUCGAUGGGGUGUAGACAGCUCCCAUGUUUGUAAUUUAUAGCUACAUAUCCAACCCGCCCACAUCCCUCACCCCGACACAAUGUACAAAAGAAGCUGUUUGUUUACUACACAUCACAGCCACCUCAACCACAACACCACAACAACAUGUUUUGGUAGCAACGCUGGGGUUUGGAGGCGCUGUUGUGGCCGACAGCAGACAUGCUCCCUGGACAUCUACAUACUGUAUGUAGGAUCUUCAUUUGAUUACCCUGUUGCAGGAAAAUAUUUCUGCAAUGCAGGACAUUUAAAACUUGUAGUGUAUUUUGUACUUGUAGUGUAUUUCCACUUUGAAAUUUCACACUUGAUUUUCCCUUACGAAAUUUUUUCAGACGCUACAAAAAUCUCCAUUCAUUAUAAUCCACAUUAUAAUUAAAAUGUCCUGUUGCUGUAUGAUUAUUUUCCUGCUGUAGGAGACUGGCUCAAAUUAAGAUCCUACAUCUGUAAAUACAAUACAGUGGGUGUUCCCUGACUUUAUACAGGCUUCUCUGCUUCCUCUCUGCUAAACACCUUCUUCUUCUUCCUUGGCUUUGAUAUUGGAGCAUUCAGGGUGUCUUUUAGUUCUAGCUACAGAGAUACAGAGUGGACUGGAAGCGUAACCUGUAGAGGAGCUGUUUUUCAAGUGGAAGGAAGCUCUACACUAGAGUUUAACUGUCCCCCUUUAUAUGACAUCACUUGUUGUUUUCACAUGACCCACAGGAAGUAAUUCAUUCUAAAUAGUCAAAGAUUGUUGACUGCCGAGCGAGGUUGACCUGUAAACGUGGCCCAAAUGGGUCAGAGUUUGUAUGUAAUGUCGCACGUUAUCACCUUUCAAACAGUGAACCAAGGACAUUUGUGGAAGAUGCAGCCUAGCUCUCAUUCGCCUGCCAUUUGGUGUCGUUGCUAUGGCAUUACCGCAGCGUUACUGUGGCAUUACCAUGACGACCAAAUAAGAGUCAUGUCAGGCGGACAAGCAACCCCUCACCACCAGCGUCUUGGCCCCCACUGGCACAUCAGCCUGCCCUCCC
rnacentral:lncRNA from 1 species